rnacentral:lncRNA from 1 species
ACUCAGAUCAAGCUGCAAGUCCUGCCACUCCCAUCUCCUCAUUGGUUUAUAGAAGCAGAUACCCACGUGCCAUCUCUGCAUUGGUUAUACCCACGUGGGUGAUUGAAAGACGAACUGUGUUGCAGGUUGUCGUGGUAAUACUGUGAAAGUUUAAAUGCCCUUCACCAUAUAAGUUCAAAGAUGAAAAAGCCGGGAAGGAGGAGAGAUGACUAGAAACGAUUCGGUUGACCAUUUUAUGUGUGGAUUAAUUGUCAGAGUAGAGGACCUUGUGCAUUUCAGGUAAAAUAACAACCUAAUGUUUAUGUCCCAGGACAAAUUAGCUAGCAACAGCAAGCUAGCUAAAUAGGACAAAUUAACUAGCAAGCUAACUAGCUAAAUUGCUAUAAAUGCUUUUUGCUUUUUGACCUGUCCUCAAAUUAAUGUCAUUGGUUCAGAGCUUGUUUUGAUAUUUUAACCUGCGUGUCAUGAUCACAUUUGGUGUCUUGCCACAAGUUUUCUUACAUGAAUACAAUGCCAAAAAAGAUGCAACACUGUUUCUGGGUGGUCAUUACAAAAGGAACAAUUUGAGUUGAUGUCUUCUUUAAACUUCUUCAUAUAGUGGUUGGCAGGAUAAUAUUCAUAAAUAUUAUAAAGGAAACUUCAUUUUUUUUAACAAGUAGGUAUGUGUGUGGCAACAUCCAAACUUUUUCCAACAGAUAUUAUCAAUAAAUCCGUUCCAAUAAGGCAUUACAUAAGGUAUAGAUUAGAGGUCGACCGAUUAAUCAGAAUGGCCGAUUAAUUAGGGCCGAUUAAUUAGGGCCGAUUUCAGGUUUUCAUAACAAACGGAAAUCAGUAUUUUUGGGCGCCGAUUUGCCAAUUCUUUUUAUUUAUUAUUAUUAUUUUUAUACCUUUUUAUUUAACCAGGCAAGUCAGUUAAGAACACAUUCUUAUUUUCAAUGACGGCCAAGGAACGGUGGGUUAACUGCAUGUUCAGGGGCAGAACGGCAGAUUUUCAUAUUGUCAGCUCGGGGGAUCCAAUCUUGCAACCUUACAGUAAACUAGUCCAAUGCAAUAACCACCUGCCUCUCUCUUGUUGCACUCCACAAGGAGACUGCCUGUUACCCGAAUGCAGUAAGCCAAGCAAGGUUCAAGAGCAGGACCCAUAAAUCAAAGAGGUGGAUGAGGAGCCUUAGAGAAGCGCGGGACCAGUGAGGGCACCAGAGGUCCCACAGUACUUCACAGGUAAUUGAGUAUUGAUUGCAUUAUAAUCAGAAUCCUAAAGUGUUCUUCCUUUGUGCUAUUUUCUAGUCAAUUGUGCAACUUGAUCCUUUGCAUACAAACAUAAAGAAGAAUGUGUGGUAUAAGUCCUGAAAUGUACAUUACCUAUUGGAAUCUACAAGUGCUCACCUGGUAUUUCUAAAACUAACUGGACCGAAGCUUAACAUACCUGCAUACCUGCAACACAGAGAAGUACAUAGGUAUUUGAGAUAUUGACAGAAAGUGGUGCCCAUGACACAUUUUCAAGAAAACCUUUGAGCUGCCUUUUUAUCCUCAACAAAAUUUUGCAAUGAAGCCUGUGAAAAGUAAUUUCCAUCACUUGCAUUGCCUGUCCA